CAAGUUAAACUUAAAGUUAAGAUUUUCAUUUACACUGAAAUAUUUAUUGUGCAAUUCAAUAUAACUUGA
rnacentral:tRNA from 1 species